rfam:Lactobacillus vaccinostercus DSM 20634 NODE_7, whole genome shotgun sequence.
ACGAUAUUCCGCUGUUGGUUAUCCGACAAGAAUGUCGG